CGGAUCAGAAUGCCGCGGUGAAUACGUUCCCGGGUCUUGUACACACCGCCCGUCACACCAUGGGAGUCGGAAAUGCCCGAAGCCGGUGAACCCCAAACCCGGAAAGGGAGGGAGCCGUCGAAGGCAGGUCGGAUGACUGGGGUGAAGUCGUAACAAGGUAAC
rnacentral:rRNA from 1 species